rnacentral:sRNA from 1 species
UAGUUCGAUCGCGAGCGCUGCCGUCGGGAGGCUGCUCCGAGGUUCGAGGCUGUGCCCCGCGACCCCGCCUUCGGCGCUCGGCUCGCAGGAUGGAUCCCGUACCCGGGACAGACUCCGUGCCGCUGGCUGGCCUGGCCUGGUCGUCGGCCUCUGCACCCCCGCCGCGGGGUUUCAGCGCGAUCUCCUGCACCGUCGAGGGGGCACCCGCCAGCUUUGGCAAGAGCUUCGCGCAGAAAUCUGGCUACUUCCUGUGCCUUAGUUCUCUGGGCAGCCUAGAGAACCCGCAGGAGAACGUGGUGGCCGAUAUCCAGAUCGUGGUGGACAAGAGCGCCCUGCCGCUGGGCUUCUCCCCGGUCUGCGACCCCAUGGAUUCCAGUAAGCCCUGCUUCGGAGGCGAGAGUUGUCCGGGUCCCUUGCAGGGAGCAGCGGGGGAGGAGGGACGACGGGCGCGCGGUAUCUGAGCCUCGGCUGCCCCCUGGCACCCGGGGUGAUGACAGGGUUGGCUGAGGACUCAGAGCCCUGCCCUAGGGUGGACCGACAUCCCCUGUCCUGAUUCAAAAUGUGUGAUGUGAUUGAUACAGCCUCCAUCGUCGAAUUAAGAGUUCAGUCCACGCCACCUGUUUCACUACUGUUGUGCUACUUGUGUCUUUUUACACCAUAGCCAAGCAAAACCACUGCGCAGUUCUCUUUUUCAUUUCCAGGCUGCACACGCCGCUUCCUCUGCCUGGGGCACUUUUUCUCUCCUUUUUGUAGCUCAUUCUUCGUUCUCCCUCAGAUGUCACCUU